UCCCCUUCGGGGGACAGGGUGACAGGUGGUGCAUGGUUGUCGUCAGCUCGUGUCGUGAGAUGUUGGGUUAAGUCCCGCAACGAGCGCAACCCUCGACCUUAGUUGCCAGCAUUCAGUUGGGCACUCUAAGGUGACUGCCGGCUAAAAGGUCGGAGGAAGGUGGGGAUGACGUCAAAUCAUCAUGCCCCUUAUGACCUGGGCUACACACGUGCUACAAUGGGCGGUACAAAGGGUCGCGAACCCGCGAGGGGGAGCCAAUCCCAAAAAGCCGCUCUCAGUUCGGAUUGCAGGCUGCAACUCGCCUGCAUGAAGCCGGAAUCGCUAGUAAUCGCGGAUCAGCACGCCGCGGUGAAUACGUUCCCGGGCCUU
rnacentral:rRNA from 1 species